rnacentral:lncRNA from 1 species
AUCACAUAUAUUCAUUAUAUAUGCUAGCAUUUCAUCACAUAUCCCAUCAUAAAUAUAUAUGCUAGCAUUUCAUCACAUAUAGGCUAGCACCUAAGUCGGAAUCACCUAUAGUGACCUAUACGACGUAUUCAUAUCUCAUCACGUAUCUCAUCAAUCAUGGCUGGAAUAUAAGUCAGAGUCACCUCUAGUGACCUAUACGUCAUGUUUGUAUCUCAUCACGCAUCUCAUCAAUCAUGGCUAGCAUAUAAGUCAAAGUCACCUCCAGUGACCUAUACGACAUAUUCAUAUCAGAUCACGUAUCUCAUCAAUCAUGGCUAGCAUAUAAGUCUGAGUCACCUUCAGUGACUUAUACGACAUAGUCGUAUCUCAUCACGUAUCUCAUCAAUCAUGGCUAGUAUAUAAGUUGAAGUCACCUCUAGUGACCUAUAUGACAUAUUCAUAUCUCAUCACAUAUCUCAUCAAUCAUGGCUAGCAUAUAGGUCGGAGUCACCUCUAGUGACCUAUACGACAUAUUCAUAUCUCAUCAUGUAUCUCAUCAAUCAUGGCUAGCAUAUAAGUCGGAGUCACCUCUAGUGAGCUGUACGAUUGAAUCAUAGCUCAUUAAUCAUUGCUAGCACAUAAGCCGGAGUCACCUUUAGUGACCUAUACGGCACUACACUACACACAAGUCGAAACCAUUGAAAAUGUCUGUACGACAAGGUUGGGUGUAAUAUAGUUAUGCUCAAUUCUACGCACAUCAAGAUAGUCAUGCGAUAAAUUGCUAGUCACCUACAAGUCGGAACCACCUAUGGUGGUUUGUACGACAAGACUGUGCACCUAAAUUGGAUCCAAUAUGAGCAUAGGGUGCGGAAGGUGACAUUAUAUACAGGUCUGUGUCAUAUCUCUGGCUAAAUCACAAUCACCCAGGGUGCAGGUUUGUGAGCUCUAAAUGCAUCCAAUACAACAUGUAUGACUCAUAGGCAACCUGUACGACAAUGCCGGAAUUGCCUACUGUAGCAACCUGUACGAUAGUGUCGGAGUUGCUAAAAGUGUAAAUGUAGUCAUAUCAUAACCCCAUCAAUUCAACUAAUAUCGUAUACUUAAUUGAACUUACCUAAACUUACCUAAAUGUCAUGCGUUCACCUUUGCACUUCAGAGCUUU